UACGGAGGGGGCUAGCGUUGUUCGGAAUUACUGGGCGUAAAGCGCACGUAGGCGGCUUUGCAAGUUAGAGGUGAAAGCCCGGGGCUCAACUCCGGAAUUGCCUUUAAAACUGCAUCGCUAGAAUUGUGGAGAGGUAAGUGGAAUUCCGAGUGUAGAGGUGAAAUUCGUAGAUAUUCGGAAGAACACCAGUGGCGAAGGCGGACUUACUGGACACAGUAUUGACGCUGAGGUGCGAAAGCGUGGGGAGCAAACAGG
rnacentral:rRNA from 1 species